rnacentral:rRNA from 1 species
AUUUGUGACCAAAUUAUCCGGAAUGUGCCCAACCUCAACAUAUCUCGGAAGCUUAGCAGGUUUGAGCCUGCACAGUGCUUGCACGGGUGACCACCAUGCAAAAAGCCGGCGUUGUAGGCU